AGCGCAGGUGGUUUAUUAAGUCUGGUGUAAAAGGCAGUGGCUCAACCAUUGUAUGCAUUGGAAACUGGUAGACUUGAGUGCAGGAGAGGAGAGUGGAAUUCCAUGUGUAGCGGUGAAAUGCGUAGAUAUAUGGAGGAACAUCGGUGGCGAAAGCGGCUCUCUGGCCUGUAACUGACACUGAGGCUCGAAAGGCGUGGGAGCAAACA
rnacentral:rRNA from 1 species